rnacentral:rRNA from 1 species
AUUGAACGCUGGCGGCAUGCCUUACACAUGCAAGUCGAACGGCAGCACGGGAGCAAUCCUGGUGGCGAGUGGCGAACGGGUGAGUAAUAUAUCGGAACGUGCCCAGUCGUGGGGAUAACGUAGCGAAAGCUACGCUAAUACCGCAUACGAUCUACGGAUGAAAGCGGGGGAUCGCAAGACCUCGCGCGAUUGGAGCGGCCGAUAUCAGAUUAGGUAGUUGGUGAGGUAAAGGCUCACCAAGCCGACGAUCUGUAGCUGGUCUGAGAGGACGACCAGCCACACUGGGACUGAGACACGGCCCAGACUCCUACGGAGGCAGCAGUGGGGAAUUUUGGGACAAUGGGCGCAAG